AUUGAACGCUGGCGGCAUGCCUAACACAUGCAAGUCGAACGGCAGCACGGCAGUAGCAAUACUGUGGGUGGCGAGUGGCGGACGGGUGAGGAAUACGUCGGAAUCUGCCCAGUCGUGGGGGAUAACUAGCCGAAAGGUUAGCUAAUACCGCAUACGACCGAGAGGUGAAAGCGGGGGACCGCAAGGCCUCGCGCGAUUGGAUGAGCCGACGUCGGAUUAGCUAGUUGGAGGGGUAAAGGCCCACCAAGGCGACGAUCCGUAGCUGGUCUGAGGAGGAUGAUCACGCCACACGUAGGAACUGAGACGACCGGUCCAGACCUCCGUACGGGAGGCAGCAGGGUAGGGGAAUUAGUUCGGAACAA
rnacentral:rRNA from 1 species